UUCAAGUGCACAGUUUGACUUUUGACUUGG
rnacentral:piRNA from 1 species